rnacentral:rRNA from 1 species
GACGAACGCUGGCGGUGUGCUUAACACAUGCAAGUCGAACGGAAAGGCCCUGCUUUUGUGGGGUGCUCGAGUGGCGAACGGGUGAGUAACACGUGAGUAACCUGCCCUUGACUUUGGGAUAACUUCAGGAAACUGGGGCUAAUACCGGAUAGGAGCUCCUGCUGCAUGGUGGGGGUUGGAAAGUUUCGGCGGUUGGGGAUGGACUCGCGGCUUAUCAGCUUGUUGGUGGGGUAGUGGCUUACCAAGGCUUUGACGGGUAGCCGGCCUGAGAGGGUGACCGGCGACAUUGGGACUGAGAUACGGCCCAGACUCCUACGGGAGGCAGCAGUGGGGAAUAUUGCACAAUGGGCGGAAGCCUGAUGCAGCAACGCCGCGUGCGGGAUGACGGCCUUCGGGUUGUAAACCGCUUUCGCCUGUGACGAAGCGUGAGUGACGGUAAUGGGUAAAGAAGCACCGGCUAACUACGUG